UUGCUAAGCUCCGUAGAGACUGCAGUCGACGAACUCUGGUAUUGAUUGGUGCUUGCAUCAUGAUUUACAUUUGAGUGAGUGGCGAACUGGGGAGUAAACACGUUGGGAAACCUCCCCCAGAAGCGCGGGGAUAACACCUUGGAAACAGAUGCUUAACACCGCAAAAAAAACUUGGACCCGCAGGGUCCGAAUUUGAAAAGAGGGCUUCGGCUAUCACUUCUGGGAUGGUCCCCGCGGCGUAUUAAGCUAAAUGGUGAGGUAACGGCUCCGCCCAGAAAUGGCAAAUGAAAAGUACUCCGACCGGGAAACCAUAAUCUCGCCUCCCAUUGGGACAAUAGGACACAGGCCCAAAUUCCCUACCGGAGGCAGCAGUACGGAUAUCUUUGGCAAAAAAAGACGAACACGGUCGCGCUGGAUGGAAAGAUUCAACCCCACGUGAAUAAAGAAAGGUAUCGACUCGUAACAACUCUCUUGCCCCCUCUAAAGAAGAACUAUAUCACAAAAGGUAACUGUUCAGGUAUCUGACGGUAAAUUUUAACACUAUGAAACCCACUGGCUAACGUACGUGCCAGCAGUCUCGUCGGUAAUUAAGGAGGUGGCAAGCCCCCGUCCGGAUGCUAUUCCCCGUAAAGUCGAGCUUUGCAGGCGGUUUUUUAAGUCUGAUGUGAAAGCCGUAUCGGCUCAACCGAAGAAGUGCAUCGGAAACUGCGAUAACUCUCAGUACAGAAGAGGACAAUGGAACCGCCACACUGUACCGGUGCAAAUGCGUAUGAGAGAUGGAAGAACACCAGUGGAGAUAUUCGUGAGUGCUCCCUGGUCUGUAACUGAGCGACUCGAGGCUCGAAUAGUACGACGUAGCAAACAGGAUUAGAUACCCUGGUAGUCCAUACCGUAAACGAUCAACCCUGCUAACGCUGUCUCCAGGAAUUUCACUGCCUCUUCAGUGCUGCAGCUAACGCAUUAAGCAUUCCGCCUGGGGAGUACGGCCGCAAGGCUGAAACUCAAAGGAAUUGACGGGGGCCCGCACAAGCGGUGGAGCAUGUGGUUUAAUUCGAAGCUACGCGAAGAACCUUACCAGGUCUUGACAUACUAUGCAAAUCUAAGAGAUUAGACGUUCCCUUCGGGGACAUGGAUACAGGUGGUGCAUGGUUGUCGUCAGCUCGUGUCGUGAGAUGUUGGGUUAAGUCCCGCAACGAGCGCAACCCUUAUUAUCAGUUGCCAGCAUUAAGUUGGGCACUCUGGUGAGACUGCCGGUGACAAACCGGAGGAAGGUGGGGAUGACGUCAAAUCAUCAUGCCCCUUAUGACCUGGGCUACACACGUGCUACAAUGGAUGGUACAACGAGUUGCGAACUCGCGAGAGUAAGCUAAUCUCUUAAAGCCAUUCUCAGUUCGGAUUGUAGGCUGCAACUCGCCUACAUGAAGUCGGAAUCGCUAGUAAUCGCGGAUCAGCAUGCCGCGGUGAAUACGUUCCCGGGCCUUGUACACACCGCCCGUCACACCAUGAGAGUUUGUAAUAUUCAAAGUCGCUGGGGUAACCUAAGUGGAACCAACCUAACCAUAGAGAUACGCCC
rnacentral:rRNA from 2 species